GGGCAUCUUUUCUGCUGCGACAUGUGUACCCGUCAGCCAACGUGUGAUGAGCUCUCACGUUCAGACCUUGGUCUGUCAGCUGUCACCACUCCCUUAUCUCAUGCUGGAAAGGCACACCAAAAUACAGAACUUUCAGAAAGGCACCAUCGGUCUUGAGCUGGAAGCCCGCCUUUUAGGUUUUGAAGAGAGAAGAGGUGGAGGAGGAUGUGUGCUCCAUGAAGACGUGUUCACAGACUCUAACUUGCUAUGGAGUGGCCAGAGGGCUCGACGAAGAUGCCAACUGCCUUCAGAUGUCUCCAGCUCCUAUCACGGCUGUGUGAAGCUAUAGGCUGUGGUAAAGACCAACCAGGGGAGAACAAGCAAAGGCCAUUUAUUCAGAGGCUGCUGUAUCAGGGGAGUCAGCCACCCACACAUGUCUUAUGGAAAGCUGCUUCUGCCCCAACCCUGUUUUAGCUAGUCUUCAGUUUAAUCUGAUAUCCGGUACCACCUCCUACCCCAUUUCUACCCAUCUUAGGUUCAUUGGCUGGGACGCCUGUGACAAAAGACAGAUUAACAAGAGAAAGGUACACAAAUUUAUUUAAUAUGUGUUAUGUGACACAGGAGCCUUCAAAAGGAAAUGAAGUUCUGAAGAAACAGCUAAACCUGAAUGGUUUUUGUCGUAGAUUUGAGAAGAAUGAAGCAUUGUGGGAAAAUAUGACAAAGUAAAGAAAAAGAAUGAGAGAAAUGUAAUAAAUCGGGGA
rnacentral:lncRNA from 10 species